GGCCAGACUCCUACGGGAGGCAGCAGUGAGGAAUAUUGGUCAAUGGGCGGAAGCCUGAACCAGCCAAGUCGCGUGAGGGAUUAAGGCCCUGCGGGUCGUAAACCUCUUUUGCCGGGGAGCAGUGGUCCGGACGCGUCCGGACCGGGAGAGUACCCGGAGAAAAAGCAUCGGCUAACUCCGUGCCAGCAGCCGCGGUAAUACGGAGGAUGCGAGCGUUAUCCGGAUUUAUUGGGUUUAAAGGGUGCGCAGGCGGCGAGUUAAGUCAGCGGUAAAAUUUCGGGGCUCAACCCCGACGGGCCGUUGAAACUGGCUUGCUAGAGUGGGCGAGAAGUAUGCGGAAUGCGUGGUGUAGCGGUGAAAUGCAUAGAUAUCACGCAGAACUCCGAUUGCGAAGGCAGCAUACCGGCGCCCAACUGACGCUCAGGCACGAAAGCGUGGGUAUCGAACAGGAUUAGAUACCCCCGUAA
rnacentral:rRNA from 1 species